rnacentral:rRNA from 1 species
CAGUCGCCACGGUAAUACGUAGGGUGCAAGCGUUAUCCGGAAUUAUUGGGCGUAAAGAGCUCGUAGGCGGUUUGUCGCGUCUGCUGUGAAAACUGGAGGCUCAACCUCCAGCCUGCAGUGGGUACGGGCAGACUAGAGUGCGGUAGGGGAGAUUGGAAUUCCUGGUGUAGCGGUGGAAUGCGCAGAUAUCAAGAGGAACACCGAUGGCGAAGGCAGAUCUCUGGGCCGUAACUGACGCUGAGGAGCGAAAGCGUGGGGAGCGAACAGGAUUAGAUACCCCUGUAGUCCCUGUCUCUUAUAC